UCGUGGCUUGUAAACCUAGCAGAAGACCACGAUCCCUAUCUCUGAUGAGAUAACUCCCCAGUUCAUCCAGUUCCUCCCACCUCCCUUAACUCUCCUCUUUCUUCGAUUACGGUUGCUAUAACAACAAUCGAUGCUUUGAAACCGUAUACACAGAAAAGACAAUAUUUCAAAUUUGGAAGAAGGAAAUCCAUCAAUGUCUUCGUUCUCUGCAAGACAUCAUCGAUUUUAUCUGCACAAGUUGGUCUUCUUGGAUUCCACUCAUUCUUUUAAGUGGUUGUGGUUGCUGCUACUUUGUUGCUGUACAUUCAAGGGAUAGUUUUGGUUUCUCGGUUCUGAAUUAUAACAUUCUCUACAAGGAAUAUGGAUGACAACCCACAACCUCCGGCAAAAAAGAAACUAUACAGGCGACGCUAAGUUGAACUUUCUUACUUUAAAUUUGCAUAUUAUUAAUUGCAGGCUCAAAUGGAAGCCUUAUAUUUAGAAGAGAAUGGUCCAGAUAAUGAUGUUUCAAUCUUGGAGGUCACUUCAUAUGACCAGCUGAAAGGAGACAAGUAUUCUAAGAUCACGGGAGCUGAGAAUCCAGGUCGGAUUCGUUCUGUUGGUUCAGCAAUUAGAGGAACCAAGCUUAGGGGGGAUCUUCUUCAAAUGUUGGCCAAAACGACGAGGAAAAUGCUGCAUUAAGAGAUGGAAUUAAGAAACUGAAGGAGGAUCAGGUUGAUAUGCUGAACGACAUGAAAGAAGAACGUCUUCAUAUGGAGAAAACUGUAGAGCAUAUGAAAAAGGCUAACGAGGAAUAACCGAAAAAUAGAUGCCCUAUUGCUACUAUUUGCUGGUCGGGUAUGUAUGAGCAUAUCCAUAAAUAGGUUUUGCAGUGUAUUAUCUAGAAUCAUAAGCUUUCUUUAUUGCAUUUUGUUUUGUAGAGCGACCUCCCACAUUCAGAGCCAUAGAAAUAUGAUCUUACUACACGAAUCCAAGGUUAAUUUCAUUGAAAGAUAUUAUGUUCUAGGCAGUGUUGGAAGAUGUAUGAUAAUUAACUUCGGAAGUAAGAAAUCCAUCUGUCAUAAUUGAAGUAUUUUGUUUUCGCAUAUUCACUUUAAAUUCUGCUUGUAUCCGACUCUGAAUGGUUUAGUAUUAAGUUUUUAUUUGCUUUUGUUGAAUGUAAUCAAUCAGACAAUUUUAUUUGCUUUUAUUGAAUGUAAUCAAUCAGACAACCAUGUAGUACUUGUGUUUUUUUUCC